AACCUUUGCAAUACACGAAAGUGUGACAGGGCCAUCCCGAGUGCCGACCGCUGAGGUUGGCUUUUAUCCAGUCUAGACAGCUGGAAGAAUAAGGAGAGGGCAAGUCUGGUGUCAGCCGCCGCGGUAAUACCAGCUCUCCGAGUGGUGUGGACGUUUAUUGGGCCUAAAGCAUCCGUAGCUGGCUGGACAAGUCCCCUGUUAAACCCACCGAUUUAAUCGUUGGCUUGCGGGGGAAACUGUUCGGCUAGGGGACGGUAGAGGCAGACGGUAUUCCCGGGGUAGGAGUGAAAUCCUAUAAUCCCGAGAAGACCACCAGUGGCGAAGGCUGUCUGCUAGAACGCGCCCGACGGUGAGGGAUGAAAGCUGGGGGAGCGAACCGGAUUAGAUACCCGGGUAGUCCCAGCUGUAAACGAUGCAGGCUAGGUGUUUGGACGGCCACGUGCCGCUCUAGUGCCGCAGGGAAGCUGUUAAGCCUGCCGCCUGGGGAGUACGAUCGCAAGAUUGAAACUUAA
rnacentral:rRNA from 1 species